AUUGAACGCUGGCGGCAGGCCUAACACAUGCAAGUCGAGCGAGCGGCGGACGUGUGAGUAAUGUAUGGGGACUGCCCUAUAGAGGGGGAUACCUACUGGAAACGGUGGCUAAUCCCGCAUACUAUCGGAUAACCCAUAUGGGAUUAGCUAGUAGGUGGAGUAAAGGCUCACCUAGGCCACGAUCUCUAGCUGGUCUGAGAGGAUGAUCAGACACAGUGGGACUGAGACACGGCCCAGACUCCAACGGAGGAAGCAGUGGGGAAUAUUGCACAAUGGGCGCAAGCCGGAUGCAGCCAUGCCGAGUGUAUGAAGAAGGACUUAGGGUUGUAAAGUACUUUCAGCGGGGAGGCGUUACCCGCAGAAGAAGCACCGGCUAACUCCGUGCCAGCAGCCGCGGUAAUUC
rnacentral:rRNA from 1 species